UUCUGAUCUGAGUCUGAAAUCUGUUUCCUCUCACAGGACAGCGGGCUGCAGACACCCCAAGAGUCUCUUUCAUGGUGCCAUCCGAUGCCACUGAGAAUGAACUUCAUUACUCUACUGUGACAUUUCAGGAAAGGAAAUGAAAUCACUGUAGAAAGACUGAGACAACCAGACACAACCAGACACCCAGAGCUGCCAGUCUAAUGCUUAAUUCAGAGAACUGACUUCAUAAUACCCAGACAUGCGCUCCUACGAUAUCACUUCCUUUUCAGUGUCUUCUGUCCUAUUUUUAGGGCCUAGAGUAUUGGACUAGUUUUAUACCUGUAUUUCACUCCUCUAGCUCGAAAAGGUUGCUAUAUGUUCAUCUAAAGUUACUUUUUAAACAAUUGUCCCAGCUGAGCACCUUAACCAUCUAAUUUGGUGAGGUGUUUGGGUAUUGACUUUUAACCGUGCAUCCAUUUCAUUCAGUCAUAUCACAGAAAAUUAUACUAUAUAUCAAAGUGAUUAUCACAUAGCAGUGCGUCAAUAGAAUAGUUGUGCCUUUUCUGAAUAGACAGAAAAGACCAAAAUCAGAAACCAGUGCAGUAACAUCAUUACAUUGGAGCUGCCUUCAGAAAAACAACAGCAUAAAGUGUAAAAACUAUGAAAAGGCAGUUAGUAAAGACCACUUAAAUGUCACAGUUCAGUGCAAAAAAGUAGCCAAAUUUUAAUUUUGCAGCUAAAUCUAAUCUUUUUCAGCUGGUUUAACAAUUCUUCUUUUAUAGAUUGAAGCUGCAGUAUGAAAACCUGUCCAUUUGAAGGAAUAAUUCUGUCAGUACUCAUGGAGCUAGGUAAACCUGACCUAUGUUGUUUAACUGUGUAAGUGUUACCCUGAUUCCCAAUAACAGGUAGUAUGUGCUUCCUGCUUUCUGGGUAUUGGAAAACUAGCUGAUAUUGGUCAGGUUGGCUCAGAGACGCUGCACUGCCUUAUGUAAACUACAUCUCCCAUCAACCCACUGGGCGACUUCCUGGAGAGCUUCUAUGUAGCAAUUCGCUAGGCCGCCUGUCAGUUGUGACGACAUGCAGGUCCCGCCCAGGCAGUGGUCUGGCUCUACAGCUGGGCGCUGACAAUAAACCUACAUGGGAUCUCUUAUUUAAAAAGGUUUAUUUCUGAAAAAAGAGAAAAUGCACGGAAGGGUAUCCAGAUGUUUUCUCAGGAUGGCACAGGACUCCAAAACUGACUCCCAGCCUGUGCAGAACUAGCUCCCAGCCUCUUCCUGACUCCCUGUGUCGCCAGCGUGUCACCUGGCUGCAUUAGCACAUCCAGACACACACUAGGGUGUGGCUGCUGGACAAAUGGGAGAGCUGGUUGACUGAAAAGUGUUCUUGCUUUAAAUUGAUUGAAUUGAAGGAAACAUCCAGUGUUUCAGCAACCUCGCUGAAGAUUUUAACAUCAAAAUCUGUUUCUCGUGCUGUUUGUGCCUCUGCCUUUGAUGGUUUUAAUUGCUUGGUUUUAUUGCAUGUUUCGUGGACUCUGACAUUUUGUUUCUCUAACUACUGUAUUAGACCACUGAGACUCUUACCACGUGUCACAUUUAGGAAAAGCUGAGUCUCCGAACUCCAUAUAUCCUUCAGCAAUGGUCCAGCUGCUUUAAAACUGCAUUGCCACAAAGUGUUGCUAAGAAAACAAAAAGUAUUUGAAUGCUCUGGGUAGAGCACAGCUUUGCUGUUAGAUUGCAUCUUUCAGAAAUUAGUUCUUUUUUGCACGGUUGCAACAAGCUUGUCUUUUUUCAGCAGAUUAUUCAACUAUAUUUCACUUGCAAGGGCUGCUAUGUGGGUGUUUCUUGUUCAAAAUGCUGGAGUUGGUAACAGGCCUUGCACAAUGGCGCUGUAAGCUUUGAUCGUGUAAUUUGCACUGUGUGAGUCGUGUUUCUAAAACCCACUUCAAAAGUGUUUAGACUUUCCAAGAUGCCAUGUGCCACCAAGGUUGUGAUACAGGAACUACAAAGAACCUAUCUAAGUGUGAGCUUUGUGGUUUAAAAGGUCAUACUAUUGUCUGUAUCUUUCAAGAGGGAUCUGGUGAUAGAUUGUAGGCUUUGUAAAAUAAUGCUAAUAAUGAUAUAUGUAAAAAUAAUUUACAUUUGUCUGUGUCCAGUAGAGAAGGUGGAUAUAGUUAGACUGUUUCACACAGUGAAGUAUUUCAAACAGCCUUUUUAAAUUGUCCUUGCACAUCUUUUUAAUUGUAUCAAUAAAUAUAAUAGUUUUGAUUUA